UAAGCUUUUGGGCCCAUACCCCGAAAAUGUUGGUUUAAACCCCUCCUCUACUA
rnacentral:tRNA from 1 species